CGACCGGCGCACGGGUGAGUAACGCGUAUGCGACCUGCCCGCAGCAGGGGGAGUAAGCGGAAGAAAUUCCGUCUAAUACCGCGUAACAACGUUGGGAGGCAUCUCCCGAUGUUUAAAGAUUUUAUCGGCUGCGGAUGGCCAUGCGGCGCAUUAGCUAGUCGGCGGGGUAACGGCCCACCGAGGCGACGAUGCGUAGGGGUUCUGAGAGGAAGGUCCCCCACACUGGUACUGAGACACGGACCAGACUCCUACGGGAGGCAGCAG
rnacentral:rRNA from 1 species